rnacentral:rRNA from 1 species
UACAGAGGUCUCAAGCGUUGUUCGGAUUCAUUGGGCGUAAAGGGUGCGUAGGCGGCGCGGUAAGUCGGGUGUGAAAUCUUGGAGCUUAACUCCGAAACUGCAUUCGAUACUGCCGUGCUUGAGGACUGGAGAGGAGACUGGAAUGGUCGGUGUAGCGGUGAAAUGCGUAGAGAUCGACCAGAACACCGGUGGCGAAGGCGGGUCUCUGGACAGUUCCUGACGCUCAGGCACGAAAGCCAGGGGAGCAAACGGG